GAGUUUGAUCCUGGCUCAGAACGAACGCUGGCGGCAGGCCUAACACAUGCAAGUCGAACGAGAAGCCACCUUCGGGUGGUGGACAGUGGCAGACGGGUGAGUAACGCGUGGGAACGUGCCUUUCGGUUCGGAAUAACCCAGGGAAACUUGGGCUAAUACCGGAUACGCCCUUCGGGGGAAGAUUCAUUGCCGAAAGAUCGGCCCGCGUCGGAUUAGCUAGUUGGUGGGGUAAUGGCUCACCAAGGCGACGAUCCGUAGCUGGUCUGAGAGGAUGACCAGCCACACUGGGACUGAGACACGGCCCAGACUCCUACGGGAGGCAGCAGUGGGGAAUAUUGGACAAUGGGCGAAAGCCUGAUCCAGCCAUGCCGCGUGGGUGAAGAAGGCCUUA
rnacentral:rRNA from 1 species